AACGAACGCUGGCGGCAUGCCUAACACAUGCAAGUCGAACGAGACCUUCGGGUCUAGUGGCGCACGGGUGCGUAACGCGUGGGAACCUGCCCUUAGGUUCGGAAUAACUCCCCGAAAGGGGUGCUAAUACCGGAUAAUGUCCUCGGACCAAAGAUUUAUCGACUUUGGAUGGGCCCGCGUUGGAUUAGCUUGUUGGUAGGGUAAAAGCCUACCAAGGCGACGAUCCAUAGCUGGUUUGAGAGGAUGAUCAGCCACACUGGGACUGAGACACGGCCCAGACUCCUACGGGAGGCAGCAGUGGGGAAUAUUGGACAAUGGGCGAAAUCCUGAUCCAGCAAUGCCGCGUGAGUGAUGAAGGCCUUAGGGUUGUAAAGCUCUUUUACCCGGGAUGAUAAUGACAGUACCGGGAGAAUAAGCUCCGGCUAACUCCGUG
rnacentral:rRNA from 1 species